GUCUGCAGCAAAACCUAAAAUAAUAAAAAAACAAACAAACAAACAAACACACAAUCACGCAAAGUCGCAAACGCAACGAGGAAGAAAAAUAGUGGUAACAGUGAAGAGCGAUUGCAAAAGUAUGAAUCAAGAAAUGGGGACUUGACUGAAGAAUUGAAUAUUGUGAUGCUGUGUGGAUAAUAAAAACGGAAUUUGAGCUACUGUGGUCUCAUUAUUCUCCUCUUUACACGUGGAAAAGCCCAUCAAAGAAUGGACAGGAAAGUCACGAGGUUGCCAAGCUGCUGCAACACCACAUUCGACACCGAAGAAAAACGAACAGCAAUCUGAAUUGGAUGGUGAAAGAGAAUUGAUUGCUCAAAAAUGAGUUGCCGACAGAAAGAAUCAUCGUCAAGUGAAGAAAAAGGAUGAAAUGCCAAAUCGGCAGUUCCAGACGAAACGGUUACUCCCAGCAAACUGGUGGUUUCCUGCGUUCAUUCAAAUAAUCCUGCGUCAAUUCAAUAACAGAUACCUAAAGCGGAGUUGAUUUUCUCCCUGAAUGAACUCGAUGACAGCCAAUCAAAGGCUUCGUCCCAUCGAAAACGAACAGUUGAAUCGGUGAGUGAGGUGUCAAAAGAGAAAAGACCUCGUGUCGAGCAAGACAUAGCAUCCUGAUUGCAUCUGCCACUCUUAAUGCCUUCGUCCCAGUAAUAAUUGAAGAAAAUGCUAUGACCACCAACGUCAACUAACAAAUUACAAUUUCUAUUCCAUCGUCGGUCCGCGAGGAAAAAGAGAAAAGGUCAUUGACAAAACCUAGAAGAGAUUGGAGAGAAAACGAGCGAACACACUACACACGCAAUUUAAAAAAAAUGUCCCAAUGUCGGAUGUUACGUUUGCUUCUGUGUUUGUACUUCUUUUUUUUUCAGUCGAUUUUCACGGUGCAAAUUUAGCCACGGUUUGUUUUUGAAAAGUGAUGAGAUAUUUCCACGCCAUUCGACCAAGCUUAAUCAAAAUUGAAUAAUUCUAAGGCAUCACGCCGAAGAUCUUUUGCCUUUCUCCACGUGAUCGCUGCCGUGUCAUGAAGAUGCUUCUUUGAGAGGGUCUCUACUCUCUACUAUAUUGCAAGACAAAAAUGUGAUGAGAACAGGUCUUGAACAGGUUAUCUGAGUUGGUUAUAAUGUACUUUUAAGAUAAAUCAAGUAGGUUAGUAUAUUGCUUACAUUUUAGUCUACGUAUGUGUGCUUAAGAGAAGUAAGUCGUACACUCGUACGUUACUUUAGAAUGUUUAAGAUGAAAUUUAGGUAUAUUUUCAACAUGUUCAAACUGAUGCUGAUGCAGUGUUUAUUUAUCAUUUUUCAAUUACCAUUUUAGAGUUCAACCUGCAGAUGGGCCGGCUAGUUUGCAUGUCCUUCACGCUUGAAGGUCACGGUGAACAUUACGUGUAAAACUGUCAAUGCGGUGGUGUAGAGGUUGGGUGAGAAAGGUACGUGUUUCAUCAUUAUCAAACAGGUACAAUACCCGCAAGGCUUAAGAGGUGAGGGUGAUAAAAAAAUCGUAUAAAAAGGAGAGAGAAAAGGCCAGAGACAUCAGUCGAGUGAGGAUCUCGGACACGGUAACAACUGCAGCGCACUCUCUGUCACCAUCUGCCUUCUUCACCGUAUUGCCAGUUCGCAUCCAUGGUUAAUAAGGCGUCGUAUGCUGUUGGGUGUUGUAUCGUUGAUGGCUGGGUCGACCACUGGUGUACCGAUGUCUCCUGAGUAUGGCGGAUACCAAACCGCAACGCCACCGCCUUACUACCCAAAAGCAACUUACGUAACGACCAGUUACUGCACCGGGGUCUACAAGUGCUACACUACUAAGGCACCGGAGUUUUAUACCACAACUUACUCUGCCCCGAGUUACUACACCAAGGCGACGGAGCAGGACUACGCAUGCUGCCCUAAGAUCCUACUACACCGAGGCUCCCAACUGCUACACCGAGGCUCCCGCUUAUUACUCCACCAAAACGGUCGAGUACUACACCGAAGCGGCAAAGUACUUCUCUGCCCCGAUCUACGCAACCACAACUGAGACGGCCAAGUAUUACGCAGUCCCGACUUACUACACAGAAGCUGCUCUUUCGUAGUACGUUGAACCGAAAUACUACACUGAUGCUCCAGUUCCCUACAAUACGACCUACGCUACACCGCAGCCCCCAAGUACUACACCGAAAAAACCGUCUAUUACACAACAACGUAUGCUCCCUAGUUUACUACACCGAGGCUCCCAAGUACUACACCACUAAGGCACCGGAAUUCUACACGUCAAUGUAUGCUGCCCCUACCUACUACACCGAGGCCCUGCAUUACUACAACACUGAAGCGCUCAAGAACUACACUACAACCUACGUUGCCCCGAGCUACUACACCUACGUCCCGAAGUAUUAAUGUGCGUGAAAGGAGUCGUCAAGAAAAAAAAAGAAGUCGUGCCAGAACUGCAGUGGCCUAUCUGUCACCAACUGCAUUCCUCAUCGUGUAACCGAUUCGCAAUUAUGGCAAACUAUGGCGUCGGGCUGCUGUUGGUUGUUGUAUCGUUGAUGGCUGGGUCGACCGCUGGUGUAGCGAUGUCUCCUUGGUAUGGUGGAUAAUAAACCACAACGCCGCCGCCUUACUAUAAAACAACAACUUACGCAACGACCAGUUCCUGCACCGAGGUCUACAAGUACUACAUCACUAAAGCACCGGGGUUUUAUACCACAACUUGCUCUGCCCCGAGCCACUACUCUGACGCCCUGAAGUAUUACUCUGCCCUGAGUUACUACACCAUCUAGGCGACGGAGUGCUACAUGACUACGUAUGCUGCCCAUCCUACUACACCGAGGCUUCUAAAUGCUAUGCCGAGGUUCCCGCUGAUUACUCCACCGAAGCGGCAAAGUACUUCCUGCCCCAAUCUACACAACCACAACUGAGGCGGCCAAGUAUUACGCUGUCCCGACUUGCUACACAAAAGCUGCUCUUUUGUGCUACGUUGAACAGAAAUACUACACUGAUGCUCCAGUCUACUACACCACGGCAGCCCCCAAGUACCACGCCGAAGAAGCCGCCUAUUACACAACUACGUACCCUGCCUAGUUUACUACAUCGAGGAAUUUAAUUAUUACCCUGCUCCAAACUGCUACCAAACUGAGGUUCAUAUUUAUUGCAAUUCUCCCGAUUAUGUCACCACUACUUACGCUGCUACGACUUAUACACCGAAGUUCUGAAGUAUUUCUCUGGAUGUGUUGAAAGAUUGCUGAAAUACAAGAUUGAUAAAUCACAAGUGCAUGUUCUCCUUAUGUACAUUUCCUGCUGCUGAUAAUUGCAUGAUGUGAGAAAAUAUUUCUGAGUUAACUUACAAAUAAUUGAUCUUGCAAAAUACAACAAUAAAAAUUCAAACUCA
rnacentral:lncRNA from 1 species